CCUACGGGUGGCAGCAGUAGGGAAUUUUCGUCAAUGGGCGCAAGCCUGAACGAGCAAUGCCGCGUGAACGAGGAAGGUCUUCGGAUCGUAAAGUUCUGUUGAAGGGGAAAAAGAGCGGAGAGAGGAAAUGAACUCCGAUUGAUAUUACCCUUCGAGGAAGUCACGGCUAACUACGUGCCAGCAGCCGCGGGAAUACGUAGGUGGCGAGCGUUAUCCGGAAGGAUUGGGCGUAAGGGGUGCGUAGGCGGCCUGCUAAGUCUGGAGUGAAAGGUACCGGCUCAACCGGUACAGGGUGUGGAAACUGGCGGGCUAGAGAGGAGGAGAGGGCGGUGGAACUGCAUGGGUAGCGGUAAAAUGCGUAGAUAUAUGGAAGAAAACCAGUGGCGAAGGCGGCCGCCUGGCCUGUUGACUGACGCUGAGGCACGAAAGCGUGGGGAGCAAAUAGGAUUAGAUACCCCAGUAGUC
rnacentral:rRNA from 1 species